GAUGAACGCUGGCGGCGUGCUUAACACAUGCAAGUCGAACGAGAAAUGUAGACGGAAACCUUCGGGCGGAAGCCUUCAUUUCGAGUGGCGGACGGGUGAGUAACGCGUGGGUAACCUGCCUCAUACAGGGGGAUAACAGUUGGAAACGACUGUUAAUACCGCAUAAGACCACAGCAUCGCAUGAUGCGGGGGUAAAAACUCCGGUGGUAUGAGAUGGACCCGCGUUCGAUUAGCCAGUUGGCGGGGUAACGGCCCACCAAAGCGACGAUCGAUAGCCGAUCUGAGAGGAUGACCGGCCACAUUGGGACUGAGACACGGCCCAAACUCCUACGGGAGGCAGCAGUGGGGAAUAUUGCACAAUGGGGGAAACCCUGAUGCAGCGACGCCGCGUGAGUGAAGAAGUACUUCGGUAUGUAAAGCUCUAUCAGCAGGGAAGAAAAUGACGGUACCUGAGUAAGAAGCCCCGGCUAACUACGUGC
rnacentral:rRNA from 1 species